CUCCCUCACGGCCCCCGGCGAAGCGGGAGGCGGGAAACGGCCGCCGCCGCCGCCGCCGCCACCCUCCCGAGCCCUCUCCCGGUGCCGUGUCGCCCGGGCGCCGCGCCCCUCUGCGUCCCGCUGACCUGUCAGUCCACCUCACGGCGGGAGCCGGCGGGGGCUGAGCCGGGACUCGUCAGCACCGCUGCCCCUCUCAGGCCCGGGAGCCCGCGUACCUGGCAGUCAGUCUUUCCGCAGCGCCGAGGAGAAAUGGCUUGAGAAAGACAUGUUGAAGAGGAAAAAUACGUUAAGGUGCUUCAUCAUCACAUGAUCUCAUUUAAUCUUCACAACAUCCCUGAGGUAUGUUGUCUUCAAUCCCCCUUUGGCAAAAGAGGAAAUGGAAGCUCUGGUUAAAACUUGGUGAAGAUAACACAGCUUAGCAGGAAACCCUGAGCUGUCUGACUCUCAAGCCUGUGUUGGGAAAUCCUGCCCUGUGCUGCCUCUUGUUGCAGAGAUCCUAUCUGGAUAAAGUGCUGGGUAACCAGGAAUCAGAACCUCUGGAGGACGAGUAUGACUUCUUUUCUGUCCCUGCUGCUCGAGUUCAAACCCUCACCAUCCUCUCCUCCUCUUCCCUGUUCUUGCUCUGUACCUCCACUCCGUCACUGAGUCUUGACACUUUGGCCCAGUGUCCCCCCUUGCACCCCUGCCUUUUCAUUCUUACCCUUGUUGCCACACACCUGGGGCACUGCCGUAGCUGGCAGCUCCCUUUCUCACCAGUCUUUCCCUUUUCCAUCUUUUCCACUAACCCUGCCAGACUCAUCUUCCUUUAACACUGCUUUGUCCUAUUUCAUUAAAAAUAUCCCAGGGACUCAUGAGAUAAAGUCAAGACUCAGUGCUUGACCUGACACAGCCCCCAGUCCCCCCAGGUAGACCUCAAAGCUUCUACAUUCGUUCUUUUUCACGCUGCUGAUAAAGACAGACUUGAGACUGGGCAAUUUACGAAAGAAAGAGGUUUGUUGGACUUAUGGUUCCAUAUGGCUGGGGAGACCUCACAAUCACAGUGGAAGGCAAGGAGGAGCAAGUCAUGUCUUACAUGGAUGGCAGCAGGCAAAACAGUUUGUGCAGAGAAACUCCCAUUUUUAAAACCAUCAGAUCUUGUGAGACCCAUUCACUAUCAUGAGAACAGCAUGGGAAAGACCCAUCCCCAUGAUUCAAUCACCUCCCACCAGUUCCUCCCAUGACAUAUGGGAAUUAUAGGAAUUGUGGGAGUUACAAUUCAAGAUGAGAUUUGGGUGGGGACACAGUCAAAACAUAUCAACUCCUUUCCAGCCUUGCCCAUCACUUCCUGCAAUAACUUGAUGUUGCCUGGGAUUUUCUGACUUCAGCAUCUUUGCUCAUGAGGUAUCUUCUACCUAGAAUGUGACCUUCCCACCCAACCUCCCCUCUGCUAAAAAUCUCAUCAUGGUCUGCCUGAAGUGGCCUGUCUUUAAUGAAGCUUUCUCCAGUCACCUUGCAGGAAUGAUCCCCCCACCUUGAACACUUUGAAACACUUAAACAGUACUUCUCAUAUGUUGCUUCACUGUAAUUAUUUGAGUGCCAACAUUUCCUCCCUAUAUACCAAUGUGAUGAUGGAACCCAUGUGUGUGUAUCCCCCACUGUGGUCAUUAGCAUAGUGCCUUAUAUGUAGUGGUCCCUUUGUUGCAUGUAAACUAAUGAACAGUGAAAAGCAAAUAAUAAGAAAUAAAUCAUUUAUUGUUUCCCAUGUGUCAGACAGUAUUCUUAGUGCUAUUCAAAGUAAUAAUUUAAUUCUCGCAAUAACCCUAAGAGGUAGAUGAUAUUGUGUCUCCAUUAUAGAGAUGAAGAAGCGAAGGCAUGGUGAGCUGAGCUGGUCAAAGAAUUAGUGAUUGACCCAGGAUUCAAAUCUGAGCAAUCUGCCUCCAGGACCUAGACUCCCGCUGUAGGUAGCUUUCCAGCACUCU
rnacentral:lncRNA from 1 species